AUACUGGAACGUUAGCUCCCAAGAUACUAAGCGCCAGGCUAACUCUGUGCCAGCAGCCGCGGUAAUACAGAGGGUGCAAGCGCUAAUCGGAUUUACUGGGCGUAAAGCGCGCGUAGGCGGCUAAUUAAGUCAAAUGUGAAAUCCCCGAGCUUAACUUGGGAAUUGCAUUCGAUACUGGUUAGCUAGAGUGUGGGAGAGGAUGGUAGAAUUCCAGGUGUAGCGGUGAAAUGCGUAGAGAUCUGGAGGAAUACCGAUGGCGAAGGCAGCCAUCUGGCCUAACACUGACGCUGAGGUGCGAAAGCAUGGGGAGCAAACAGGAUUAGAUACCCUGGUAGUCCAUGCCGUAAACGAUGUCUACUAGCCGUUGGGGCCUUUGAGGCUUUAGUGGCGCAGCUAACGCGAUAAGUAGACCGCCUGGGGAGUACGGUCGCAAGACUAAAACUCAAAUGAAUUGACGGGGGCCCGCACAAGCGGUGGAGCAUGUGGUUUAAAUUCGAUGCAACGCGAAGAACUUUCCUGGCCUUGACAUAGUUAGAACUUUCCAGAGAUGGAUUGGUGCCUUCGG
rnacentral:rRNA from 1 species